GAUGAACGCUGGCGGCGUGCCUAAUACAUGCAAGUAGAACGCUGAAGGAGGAGCUUGCUCUUCUGGAUGAGUUGCGAACGGGUGAGUAACGCGUAGGUAACCUGCCUGGUAGCUGGGGAUAACUAUUGGAAACGAUAGCUAAUACCGCAUGACAACAGUUAUUGCAUGAUAACUGUUUAAAAGGGGCAACUGCUCCACUACCAGAUGGACCUUCUUUGUAUUAGCUAGUUGGUGAGGUAACGGCUCACCAAGGCGACGAUCCAUAGCCGGCCUGAGAGGGUGAGCAGCCAGCCUGGGACGGAGACACGGCACAGAGUGCUACGGGAAGCGGCAGUACGGAAUCUUCGGGAAGCAGCGGAAGUCUGAGCGAGCAACGCGGAAUGAGUGAAGAAGGUUUCCGGGUCGUAAAGCGCGGUUGUAAGGGAAGAACGAGCGUGCGAGUGGAAAGAUCAGAGUGUGACGGUAACUGAUCAGGAAGGGACGGCUAACUACGUG
rnacentral:rRNA from 1 species